rnacentral:lncRNA from 1 species
CAGACAUGCAACAAAGAGAAGAAACACUCUUGGGUGGAAUCAUUACAUUAAAUUCCAGGCAGGCCCAUGAUUGGUGACUGAUACAUGGAGCUGACCAGUUGAGGAAGAAACUGACUUCCCCAAAGCAGUGUGAAGUUCAAAGCCAUUUUCAUGCUCCUUCUCUCUUUUUGUCUUUACAAGAAUGCUGUGAGAUAAAUCAUGCAUGAGUUAUUAUUCCCAAUUUAAAAAAAAGAGGGGUCCAAAGAAAUGAUGAGUUUUUCCAGAUUCCACACUGCUCCAAGUGAAAAAUGUCAGGACAAGCCCCAGAGUUCUGAUUCAGAACCACCGCCCAUCUCUACGUGCCAGCCUGGGUGCUUUCUUGGGCAUUACCAGCAACUCUUGAGCCGCCAUCUUUGUGCUCAGGAUUGAUUUGUUCAGAAUGAGAAGAGAAUUGUGACUGGAAGUCUUUGUCCACCAUGUGAUACAAGUAGGGACAAAGAUUUCUGUGUUUGCUCAAGGCUCUGUGCCGAACAGGAUGCACUUUAGACAUCACAGUUUUUUGCAAAGCAUUAUUCCUUUAGUAGCAGUGGAAUUAAACACAGAAUGUCAAACUCCAUAUGAUUGUGAUCUUGGCAUUGGAGUUGCAGUCUUGGCGCUAGGAGCUGUUUCCUGGUACAGGAACCUA